UACACAAGAACACAAUGUCAGGGCUUGUGUUUUGGGGCCAGUUCUUGUCUCUUAAUGAGAAAAACAAUUCAAAUUGCAAAUCCACGAUGUUAACGUGGAAUCAUAAGCCACCAUUGCAAAUUUACUGACUGGACUCUUGGGAGAAAAUCACUUUGCUCUGCUCCAAGUGAUGGAUUGAGUAAAUACGGUAUUAGAGAAUCACAACUUAUUAUCUGGUAAGCCUCGCACUAUAAAUUCUUGUGUUAUCAGGUCAUCAAACAGCAUUUUCAAAGGUCAGAUGUGUAUAAGCCAAAGGUAAUAGAGUUAGUUCAGGAAGGUAAAGGGAGAGAUCAGCAAAUCCAUUCAUCAUCUGUCCAAUCGGAUCUGCCAAGAAGCACAGGCAACAUGGGCUACACUGAUAACUCCCAAAUGCUCUCUAGGAUUAUAUAACCCCACAUGCAAUCCAGUAUCCACACCUCACAGUCUAUUAUUGUUAUUAUUAUAUUACAAAGGGCAAUAUGUCUUCUAGCCAUAAAAGGUAUAGUUAUAUAAUAUAAUAUCAUGACAUUUUUUCACAGGCACAUUUGAAUUUCCAACAAAAUGUGGUGAGUAUUACAUUAUGCCUAAGCUAGCAGUGGGUGCUUUGUUACUAGAAGAUUUUAGUCCAAUAAUAAUCAAUAUUGUUUUAAACAUGUGACUGUUAAAGCUGCUUUAGCCUUAUCUCUGCAGCGUAAUGGGAACUUAUCUGGUCUGAGACUGGGAGCUGGGGGAGGAGGAAGGGUAGAGGAAUCCCAGACGGCUGAGCCUAUCUCCACACGCCUGUGCACAUCUGAUGGGGAGGGAGGGCCAGGCCCAGAGGUUGCCGAUUGCUAGACUUGAGCAGAAUUGGCAAGAAAAGCUGUCAUGGAGGAAAUGACUGUAGGUGCCAGGGGUCAGAGACAAGGAACAGGGAGCACCUGCGUGGCCAGCCUCCCUCCCAUGCCAUCCUACAAAGUAAAACAGCUCUUUCACAAGACAUAGUGAGGUACAGGAGCUUAGUAAUCUCCACGGAUGACCAUGUAUGAAUGACAGUGUGGGAAAUUAGCAUUUGACUGCUUGAACGGCAUCAAGAACCAAACUCCAGGCACAGGAUUCAGCUUGCCCAUGAUAAAGAGAUUGAGA